CGCCCGUCACCAGUCGGCCGGGCGCCGGUCUCGGUGGCGUGCUGGGGUCGGCGGUCUCGUCCCUCAGCCGCUGGGUGGCACAGAGCACACGCUAAACCCCGCUCUGAGUGGAGCAAUGGACCGGCGCUGGAGUGUGAUACCUGGCAUGACCGAUACCGUCACGGUGGAAGAAACUGCUGCUUGCUUAAAUACAAACAGCAAAACUGCAAGUCAAGUGUUUUGCACCGGUGAAGAUGAUGGUUAAUGACUACAUUCACGCUAACAAUAGGAGCUAAUGUUCGUGAGAAAACUGCACGUACGCUGCAAAGUGUAAUUUCAAGGAUAUUAGCUGGCGACUGCCAUCAAUUAAAGAGCCCAUUUGUCAAGUGCACUGUUAAAUGCUAUAGUAAUGUGUUGGAAUCGGUGUUAAAUCAUAGCGAUUUGAGGUUUGUGGAGUGUUGUAUGAUAUGCUAUGUUCAAAACGUUAUUGCUUAACUUAGAGUUUCAUUGUUUUAACUCCAGUCCGGUACAUCAGCAAGGUAGUAAACUGGAAGGAGGAGAUUCAGAAUGUUACAGAAAUCUCACAGAAAGUGUAUUUGGCUUUAUUUUGUGUUCUGCUGUUAAACUGUGCCUAGUGCUUGAGUUGUUAAUCAAGUGCAAAUUACUCUCAGGAGUCUCUUCUCCUUCUCAUCAAUAUAUGGCUGUCCAGCAAUUAGCCUUCUUUAAAAGCAAAUAUUUUGAAAUUCAAGGAAAGUUGACAGAGUAACAAGAACCCUUGUUCUACUCGGAUUAUGAAAUGCAUAAGGGGGAGUUUGUGUACAGUUAUAUGGCUGAUAUUCAGAGGAUUUUUUUAAAUAAAUAGGUUCUAGUGGCAAAUGGAA